rnacentral:rRNA from 1 species
AACGAACGCUGGCGGCGCGCCUAAUACAUGCAAGUCGAGCGAGAAGACGUAGCAAUACGUUUGUAAAGCGGCGAACGGGUGAGGAAUACAUGGGUAACCCACCCUCGAGUGGGGAAUAACUAGCCGAAAGGUUAGCUAAUACCGCGUACGCUCCUUGGACUUCGGUUCAGGGAGGGAAAGCGAUACCGUGGGUAUCGCGCUCUUGGAUGGGCUCAUGUCCUAUCAGCUUGUUGGGAGGUAACGGCUCACCAAGGCUUCGACGGGUAGCUGGUCUGAGAGGACGAUCAGCCACACUGGCACUGCGACACGGGCCAGACUCCUACGGGAGGCAGCAGUAAGGAAUAUUGCGCAAUGGGCGAAAGCCUGACGCAGCGACGCCGCGUGGGGGA